rnacentral:rRNA from 1 species
CAAUAGCGUAUAUUAAAGUUGUUGCGGUUAAAAAGCUCGUAGUUGGAUUUCUGCUGAGAACGACCGGUCCGCCCUUUGGGUGUGUAUCUGGCUCUUUCUUGGCAUCUUCUUGGUGAACGUUGCUGCACUUGACUGUGUGGAGCGCUACCCAGGACUUUUACUUUGAGGAAAUUAGAGUGUUUCAAGCAGGCAUACGCCUUGAAUACAUUAGCAUGGAAUAAUAAGAUAGGACCUCGGUUCUAUUUUGUUGGUUUCUAGAGCUGAGGUAAUGAUUAAUAGGGAUAGUUGGGGGCAUUCGUAUUUAACUGUCAGAGGUGAAAUUCUUGGAUUUGUUAAAGGCGGACUACUGCGAAAGCAUUUGCCAAGGAUGUUUUCAUUG